rnacentral:rRNA from 1 species
CGCGUAGGCGGUCAUUUAAGUCAGAGGUGAAAACUACCGGCUCAACCGGUAGCCUGCCUUUGAAACUGGAUGACUUGAGGGCAGGAGAGGGGAGUGGAAUUCCCAGUGUAGCGGUGAAAUGCGUAGAUAUUGGGAGGAACACCAGUGGCGAAGGCGGCUCUCUGGCCUGUUUCUGACGCUGAGGCGCGAAAGCGUGGGGAGCGAACGG